GUCUACGGCCAUAGCACCCUGAACACACCUGAUCUCGUCUGAUCUCGGAAGCUAAGCAGGGUUGGACCUGGUUAGUACUUGGAUGAGAGGUAAGAGUUUAAACCUGACCGGGCUCGACA
rnacentral:rRNA from 1 species